rnacentral:lncRNA from 12 species
UGGGGGUGGGGUGGGGGAAGAGAGCAGGGCCGGGAGAUUGGGCCCGACCCCGUAGGUCCCGCACACCUGGAUGCAGGCGGUAGCGCCAGGUCGUGGUCCUGGCCUCCCUCCCCACUGGCCCACGGGGCUCAGGACACCCCGGCCCCCGCGGAUCCGAGUCUGCACCCCCCAGGGCUGCUUCAGCGUCCGAGCCCAGACCAAAGUGUUUCUCAGUAAGGAAUGUCUGGUGUUGAUAGAAAUGACCUUCAAGGCCCUGAUUCUGGUGGUGCUAGAGAGACGUCUCUUGGAUCUAAUGUUGAUGUUUUGUUGGUGACUGUUUCCCACAAAUGAGCUCAACCUCCACUGAAACCUAGAAGAAAACCAAAAAAACGUAAGAAACUUCUAGUCUGACAAUGUCUGCAGUUACCUGUCUCAUCAGUGUGUCUUGAACCUUGUCCAGACACAUGCUUCAUAUCCUAUAGCACACAAAUCUAGCAUUUGAACCCCACAGCUAGUAACAAGGGAUGGCAGGAAAGCAAGACUAAUCGCUCUGGAACCACUAUUUGGGAAUUAUUGGAGAGUGACAAGAGACAGGUGAAAAUUGAAAGAAAACAUCAAAUGAGCAGGAAAGUAAAAAAAUAAAAAUAGAAGUACCUGCCA